GGGGAGGGAGGCCAGGCUGUCCCUGUGGGUGGUCACCUGCACCAGUGCGUAGGCCUUCCGUGGUCGCCUCACCACCUCGAUGUGCUCCCGUGCCACCGGCAGCCCCAGCCGUUCCAGGGCGUCUCGCAGCAGGCAGGUCCUCCGGUGCCACGAGUCCCCAUCUUCCCCUGCGUGACCAAUCCCAGGCUCCGCUGAGCACUGAUGACCCAGCUACUCCCAAGACGGAUCUGAGCACACGCCGCUGGGCCCAGGGCUGCCCCGGACCCCAGGCCCCCUGCUCCACGCCAGAGACGGAGGUUGCUGUCCGGCCGGAGCCCUGAAAAAUAGGGACACUGAGGCAGAGGCUUGGCUGGGGAAGCCCAGAGAGGAGACCGAGGCCGUCAGGCGCAGCGUGAGGCUCUGGAAGAGCCUGGCAGGUGCCUUCCCCGUGCCCACCCCGGCAUGACGGCUGGGAGCUCCCCAUGCUCCCCCUCCUCUCUAGACUCUGCCAACACGAGCUGCUCUCACCGCAACCAUGCAGCAGGGGCUGUAGCUGCCGAAGAAGAAGGCUACGUGGGGUCGUGGCUGGCCAGGAGAGGCGCCCUGACGGACGGAACAUGUGAACAUGUGAACCAGAGGACGUGACUCACUUCUCCAGGGGCCUUGCUAUCGGGCAGUCUUUUGCGUGAGGUUUUCCACGCUGAUCUGUGCCCAAGCUCUCCGCACUCUUACUGGGGGUCUCUUUAAACACCUGCAUUACUGGGGCGCCUGGGUGGCUCAGUCGGUUGAGCGUCCGACUUCGGCUCAGGUCACGAUCUCACUGUCCGUGAGUUCGAGCCCCGCGUCGGGCUCUGUGCUUACUGCUCGGAACUUGGAGCCUGU